rnacentral:tRNA from 7 species
GGUAGGUUGGCAGAGUUUGGCUUAUUGCACUUGUCUUGAAAACAAGCGGGGGUUAACAGCCCUCCGAGGGUUCAAAUCCCUCACCUACCUCCA